rnacentral:sRNA from 1 species
UCAAAGAAAGACGGAGAAGAGAACUUAUUUACUUU